CUGGAGGGAAAUCCUGUGUUCAGCACUCCUAUCAGCACAUACUGAGAAAAAGAAAACAGCAUUUUCCUGCUACGUUACACUGCUAAGCCAAACGAGUUAAUUAACGCGAGGCGUACCUACAUCCUGAUGCUCUCUUAACAAUGCUAUUUGAGAGAAAACAAUGAAGGAAAAGAUUAAGUGUCUGGAAGGAUCUAGAAUUCUAGGCGCUCUCUAGAAGAAGGCACCAUACCGCAGCUCUGUGCAGCUCACGUGACUCCUGAAUGCUGUUGUCCCGACAGCCACGAGGGCCGGCUUGGUCGCCACCAGGACUGCCUCAUCCUCAAAUGCAGGCCCUAAAACUACUCCAAAAGGAAGUGGACAGAUUCGCCAAAGAGUGGGUAAGAAGGCCACCAAGCCACGGGGGCACCUGUCCACUGCACACUCCAACCUGCUACCGACUCUGCUCUUAUACUGAGCCCGGCACACUUGCUGCCUAGCAAGUCAACGAGACAGCGAGACAGUGGAACAGAAAGCUAGCUGCUAGGAACAGAAAGGAAUGCCUUCAGAGGCCAGGACCCCCUCUUUCAAACCUGCACGUGUUUAGUUAGCGCUUCCCAGCACCUCAACUCCGCGAGCUGCCUGCCAGGGACCCUACACGUCCUCUAAAGCUCACCAAGGUGGCGAUCUGGAGUGGAGGAGGAUUUCAGGACAGGCUUAGCAAUUAGCUAAAUAAUCCAGAGCGGCACUAGGUAGGUCAGACCUGUCAAAGAAUGGGGCCAGCCAAGGUCACCGAGCUACGAGGGUGCGGUGCCCGGUGAGGGGAUGGAUUUUUAAAUGCACCGACCGGACCCGGUUCCCGGUUGGCAGCCAGCGUGGAGACCUCCCGCCCCCGCCGAGCGCCCGGGCCCGCCGUCACUCACGUUUUCUGCACCGGCUUGCGCCGCUUGCGGCUGGCAUA